AUACGGAGGAUGCAAGCGUUAUCCGGAUUUAUUGGGUUUAAAGGGUGCGUAGGCGGUUUGCUAAGCGGGAGGCGAAAUGCCGGCGCUCAACGUCGGAAGUGCCUCCCGAACUGGUGGACUUGAAUGACUCUGCCGUGGGAGGAAUGUGUAGUGUAGCGGUGAAAUGCUUAGAGAUUACACAGAACACCGAUUGCGAAGGCAUCUCACGAAGGGUUGAUUGACGCUGAGGCACGAAAGCGUGGGGAUCAAACAGGAUUAGAUACCCUGGUAGUCCACGCAGUAAACGAUGAUGGCUAACCGCUGGGCUUAUCAGUUCAGUGGCCAAGCGAAAGCGAUAAGCCAUCCGCCUGGGGAGUACGACCGCAAGGUUGAAACUCAAAGGAAUUGACGGGG
rnacentral:rRNA from 1 species